AACUGCACACAUCCAGGAUGGGAGAUGAGCAGACGCUUCCUGGAGAAAGCCAUGGAUACGCUGAUGCCCUCUUACUUGGGGGAGCGCAGCAAUGUGCUAAACGGCCCCAUUCACAUGGUUCUUAGACCUUGCUGGAUCCCAAGGAUCAGUAAAAUGGCUAUUACUGGACAAUGUUCACUCAGAGAAGACAAAGUCUGGGCGCUGAGCAUCGUCAUCGAUUGGUGAGCCACUGAGCGUGGAUCCCAGAGGGCCAGAGCCUUUCAGCAAGACCCCAAAGUCACACGAGCACUGAAGACUCAAGCCCAUAGGCUAGGCUAGACACUUGCUGGGUGGGGGUGCUCCCAAUGGUAACAAGGGGUCUUUGCUGCACCUAUGGCCCAACUUGCAGUUGCAUAAGGUUUUAAGAACCAGAAAAAUUCAGGGUGUGGUGUGCGUACCUUCAAUCCCAACACUCUCAAGGCAGGCAGAUCUCUGAGUUUCCAGGCCAGCCAGGGCACUAUGGGGCACUACGCAGAGGGAACAGAGACAGUGCUGAUUGGGAGACACUGUGGGACUUCUAAACAGAUUCUGCCAGGCAGAGUUGGGACUGUGGGUGUGAGAUGCAGUUGUGAAUUUGGGGUAGAGAGAAGUUUAGGGGAGUCAUCCAUCCACAGACAAAGCCACUGGCACCACGUCUGUUUUACCUGUUUUUCUCAGGGGCUCCAACCACCACCAUCAGUGCCUUCAGUCCCGGAGGUUGAGCCAGGUCUUGCCCACCAUUCCAGCUUUGGGGAUGGGGUGUGGGAUACGCUUGGCCAAUCAGAACACUCCCUCCCCACAGCUAGUGACUGGCUUAGUGACUGGGUCAGGAGUGAGUGUGUGAGUCACUUCAGGCUAGUGCCUACCAGCCCUGACUCUGGGUCAGAAAAUGGACAGGGUAUUUUCAGAGUCCCUCAGCCCACAAGGCACACACAGACCCUUGUGCUCCGGGCUUCAUUCCUGAGCAGUGAGGGUGGUUCCCGUAGGUGCUGGGCUGCCCUUGCUCGUGACACUCGUCUGUGGUAAGAAGCUGGCCUCGCCUUACAGGUGUUCAUUCUGUGUCACCACACUCUGUGUGUUCAUGUCCUGCAGUCCAAGGACCGUGGCCUCUCAGAACCAUGGCCUUCUCAGUCUGUCACAGUUCACCCAGCUCACACUUGGCGAGAGCAUGAAUGAGUGGUGAGGCUGGACUCUAACGUCAGAGGGUGACAGCUGGGGUCCGCUCCUCCCCUGGGUUAAGUGACCUUGGGUGACCAAGCUGAUGAGAUUGGUUCGCAUCUGGACUGCAGAGCAAUUCUAAUACAGUGUGCAUGUGAAGUGACAGGUACCUUGGAACGGGAGUUGGGGACUGGAAGGGACAGAAGUAUCGCAGGGUGCUGGGCACAUUGGUUUUGUUUUUAAAUUAUUUGUACUGUGUGUGUAUGUGUCUGUCCUCCUAUGUACAUAUACCGAAUUGUAUGACAGUCAAGUCAGAGGACAUCCAUCUCGUAGGUCCUAGAGAUCUAACUCAGGUCAGCAAGCUUAGCAGCGAGUACCUUUACUCACUUGACCUGUCCUGCUGGCCCAGUUAUUUCUUUUGUAAUUGUGUGUGUAUGUGUGUGUGCGUGCGUAUGAAUGUGUGUGUUGCACGUGUGUGUACCCAUGGGGGAUGCACACCAAUGCACGAACAUGCAGAGGCAGAGGAUAUCAAGCAUCCUCUUUCCCUACUCUCCGUUCUCCUCCUUCUCUUUCUUUUUCUGUCAUUCCUGCCUUCUAUUCUGUUCUUUCCUUCUCUCUAUCCCUGUCAUUUACUGGGUCCUAUGCCUGUCAUGGGUAACUGUAGCUUACUCACCCAGAGCUGGAGCUGCAGGCCUCUAGCAGCUAUGUGGCCAUGGCUGGCUUAUUCCCAGAGCACAGAAGAGGGUUGGGUGGGCAGUGGCUUCAGCCCUCUACUGGGAGUACUGGAGAUCCAACAUGCAGGGAAUCACCCACACAAAGGUACAGGCAUGCCAUACUUUCCCAAAGUCGCCUAUACAAUUAUUUUUAGGGUCCCUGGAAGUACUUACAAGGCCAUGUGGGCAGAAAUAGCAUAUAUUCAGCUUUCUAAUCUGUUGGGCAUCUUUAUCAAGAGUCUAGUAGGGUAAUUAAAUACCAGACACUAAGUUACAUUUGACUUCCAAUUAAGCAAUGAGUAAUGCAUUUGUGUAAGUAUGUGCCAAAUAUCAUAUGGGAAAUGUUUACAUUGAAAACAGUUCUCUGUUAACUGAAACCUAUAACUAAUUGGACAACACGUGUUUGAAUUGGCCAGCUCUGGUAGCCCUACCCAGCAGAGAGAAGUUGGGCAAAUCUUUAAGUUUGUAUAAGCAAUCUCCUGCUGUGUAACAAAUUACCAUGAACUUUGCAGCUUAUAGAACAUGAUCUUGUGGUCUUUGAGCUCUUUAAGUGAAGGGUCAGGGUCAGGGGUCAAGAUGAUGAAGGUCUUUCUACCAGGUAGAUCAAGAUGGUGCCGGGGUUGUGGGCUUCCCUGACAUUGAACUGUAGGACAGGAAAGAAUCAAUCUCCAGCCUCCUGGGUUCUUGGUAAGAUGUUGUCUCUGUGGCUGUUGGCUCAUCCAAGGCCACUGAGGGAAAGGAUAUAGUGGGAAUGUGUGCAGCCGGCAGGAUUUCACAGACACGCAGUGUAUAUUCACCUCUAGCAUCGCUGUAUUCAGCUGCUGAGUAGCAAGCCCCAGGUCACCUGACCACAGUGGAGAGGAGUCUGACCAGGAGGAGACAAGGCCUUAGUGUCUGUCCUGCCCAGAGCUGUACCCCAUCUCCUCAGCUUUGUCACUUGGGACAGAAACAUUGUUCUCCUUUUUCUCUAGGCAGAGCCUGAAGCUCAGUUGCACUCCAUGUACAGAUGCUGAAAUAGUGAGGGCUUCUAAGUUGCGCUCCCUCUCUAACUCAGGCGACAUCUCUGCCUGUCCCACCUCCUCGUCCACCCUUUCUCUGUUACCAUUUCAGUGCCAGGAACUUCUGAGUCACAGGGUCUUGCUGGUGGUCACUUGCAGGAAUAGUAGGCUUCAGGGGGCUAUGCUGCCUUAGAGCCUGCGACAUCCGUGUUCACUGUCAACCUGACUGGAUUUGGAGCUACCUAGGAGACACAGCUCUGGGGGUCUCUGUGAGGAUGCUUCCAGAGAUGCUUGAUGGAUGAGGUACGCCCCUCACCCUGGAUGUGGGUAGCACUGUACAGGGGGCUGGGGUCCUGGGCUGAAUACAAAAUGAGCAGAACAGCAGCAUUUCCUGCACUCCACUUUCCAGUCUAUCCAGAUAGAGGAGUGCCAGCUGCAUCUUCCUGAGGCUGUGAAGUCGGCCACGCCUUUCACACUUCGGAGGACUGUGUGUUCAAACCCCACGCCUUUCACACUUCAGAGGACUGUGUGCUCAAACCCAUUAACCAAAAUAAAACCCUUCCCU
rnacentral:lncRNA from 1 species